rnacentral:rRNA from 1 species
AGUGAACGCUGGCGGUAGGCCUAACACAUGCAAGUCGAACGGCAGCACAGUAAGAGCUUGCUCUUACGGGUGGCGAGUGGCGGACGGGUGAGGAAUACAUCGGAAUCUACUUUUUCGUGGGGGAUAACGUAGGGAAACUUACGCUAAUACCGCAUACGACCUACGGGUGAAAGCAGGGGAUCUUCGGACCUUGCGCGAUUGAAUGAGCCGAUGUCGGAUUAGCUAGUUGGCGGGGUAAAGGCCCACCAAGGCGACGAUCCGUAGCUGGUCUGAGAGGAUGAUCAGCCACCCUGGAACUGAGACACGGUCCAGACUCCUACGGGAGGCAGCAGUGGGGAAUAUUAGACAAUGGGGGCGAGCCUGAUCCAGCCAUACCGCGUGGGUGAAGAAGGCGUUCGGGUUGUAAAGCCCUUUUGUUGGGAAAGAAAAGCAGCAGGUUAAUACCCCGCUGUUCUGACGGUACCCAAAGAAUAAGCACCGGCUAACUUCGUG